rnacentral:rRNA from 1 species
AUUGAACGCUGGCGGCAGGCCUAACAGAAGCAAGUCGAGCGGAGAGUCGGACGGGUGAGUAAGGCCUGGGAAGCUGCCAGGUAGUGGGGGAUAAAGUCAGGAAACGGGCGCUACUAACGCAUGCUCUCAGAUGAGCCUCGGUCGUAUUAGCUAGUUGGUGGGGUAAAGGCCAACCAAGGCGACGAUCCGUAACUGGUCUGAGAGGAUGAUCAGUCAAACUGGAACUGAGACACGGUCCAGACUCCUACGGGAGGCAGCAGUGGGGAAUAUUGGACAAUGGGCGAAAGCCUGAUCCAGCCAUGCCGCGUGUGUGAAGAAGGUCUUCGGAUUGUAAAGCACUUUAAGUUGGGAGGCGUUACCAACAGAAUAAGCACCGGCUAACUUCGUGCCAGCAGCCGCGGUAAUUC